CAAGACUGUACCUAAUUCAAGCAGCAGCAGUUGUAUCUGUACCAGCCAGAAGACUUCAUCUCAUUUAUGUUCAGCUUCACUUGUGGUUGUCAGCAAAUAGCCUUUGGAGUUUAAUUACAUGAUCAAGAUUGCUGCGGAGCAUGGAAGAUGAAAGAACGAAUAGGUGGGUUGGCUGCACAGCAGUCAUCAACAUAAAACCCUUCAGUGCGGGAACUGCGCUUGAGUGUGAGUUGGCAAACUACAUCUCUGCAUAUAGAUCUGUGCCUGUUUUUGACUGUCUUCAUUUGCAACAGAACGCAUAA
rnacentral:lncRNA from 1 species